AGGAGGAAGGCGUUGUGGUUAAUAACCGCAACGAUUGACGUUACUCGCAGAAGAAGCACCGGCUAACUCCGUGCCAGCAGCCGCGGUAAUACGGAGGGUGCAAGCGUUAAUCGGAAUUACUGGGCGUAAAGCGCACGCAGGCGGUCUGUCAAGUCGGAUGUGAAAUCCCCGGGCUCAACCUGGGAACUGCAUCCGAAACUGGCAGGCUAGAGUCUUGUAGAGGGGGGUAGAAUUCCAGGUGUAGCGGUGAAAUGCGUAGAGAUCUGGAGGAAUACCGGUGGCGAAGGCGGCCCCCUGGACA
rnacentral:rRNA from 1 species